AGUCUUUCUGCCCAUUGAAUUUAAAAGGCUGCGGUAAAUUAACUGUACAAAGGUAGCAAAAUCAAUAGUUUUUUAAUUGAAAACUUGAAUGAAAGAGUUGAUAAAAUAUAAAUUGUCUCAAAUAUUAAAUUUAAAUUAAAAGUAAAAAUGCUUUUAUAAUUUUAUAAGACGAGAAGACCCUAAGAAUUUAAUAAAAUUUAUUAAUUUAAAUUUGUUAUUAUUAUAAUUAUUUUACUGGGAGGGUAAUUAAAAAUAACUUUAAUUUUAAUUAACAAUAAUAAUUGAUGAAUAUGAUAAUUUUUAUAAUUAUAAGAAUAAAUUACCUUAGGGAUAACAGCGUAAUAAUUUUGGAAAGUUCAUAUUAAUAGAAUUGUUUGCGACCUCGAUGUUGAAUUAAAAUAAAAUUUGAAUGAAGGUAUUUGAGUUUUUAGUCUGUUCGACUAUUAAAAUUUUAC
rnacentral:rRNA from 1 species